rnacentral:rRNA from 1 species
CAGUAGCCGCGGUAAUACAGAGGGUGCAAGCGUUAAUCGGAAUUACUGGGCGUAAAGCGCGCGUAGGUGGUUUGUUAAGUUGGAUGUGAAAUCCCCGGGCUCAACCUGGGAACUGCAUCCAAAACUGGCAAGCUAGAGUAUGGUAGAGGGUGGUGGAAUUUCCUGUGUAGCGGUGAAAUGCGUAGAUAUAGGAAGGAACACCAGUGGCGAAGGCGACCACCUGGACUGAUACUGACACUGAGGUGCGAAAGCGUGGGGAGCAAACAGGAUUAGAUACCCCUGUAGUCCCUGUCUUUAUACA